GAAACUGGGCAAUCUGGCUACAACAUCCAUCAUCCCAGUGAUCAUCAGGGUAUAUUCUGCCCAUCUGGCCAGAUAGGUGGGUGUCCCCACCCUCCUUCACUACUCCCUAUGUGUGCCCCCAGAAGUGUCACACUUGGCUACAGAGGAUGACCUUCCUGAUAGAACCUCCACACCAUCUCCCAAGGUCUAAAAAGGGACAAGGUAAAACUUGAAGCAUGAUAGAGGCUGAAGGACGGCCUGUGAGGCUAACCAGACCUGACAUUUACCUCUUCUCUUCCUUCCAGCCUCCCUGAGACUGGCCAAGAUG
rnacentral:sRNA from 1 species